AGUGAACUCUUUCUUUAGGCCUAACACAUGCAAGUCGAACGGCAGCACAGUAAGAGCUUGCUCUUACGGGUGGCGAGUGGCGGACGGGUGAGGAAUACAUCGGAAUCUACUUUUUCGUGGGGGAUAACGUAGGGAAACUUACGCUAAUACCGCAUACGACCUACGGGUGAAAGCAGGGGAUCUUCGGACCUUGCGCGAUUGAAUGAGCCGAUGUCGGAUUAGCUAGUUGGCGGGGUAAAGGCCCACCAAGGCGACGAUCCGUAGCUGGUCUGAGAGGAUGAUCAGCCACACUGGAACUGAGACACGGUCCAGACUCCUACGGGAGGCAGCAGUGGGGAAUAUUGGACAAUGGGCGCAAGCCUGAUCCAGCCAUACCGCGUGGGUGAAGAAGGCCUUCGGGUUGUAAAGCCCUUUUGUUGGGAAAGAAAAGCAGCAGGUUAAUACCCCGCUGUUCUGACGGUACCCAAAGAAUAAGCACCGGCUAACUUCGUG
rnacentral:rRNA from 1 species